rnacentral:rRNA from 1 species
GAUGAACGCUGGCGGCGUGCCUAAUACAUGCAAGUCGAGCGAACGGACGAGAAGCUUGCUUCUCUGAUGUUAGCGGCGGACGGGUGAGUAACACGUGGAUAACCUACCUAUAAGACUGGGAUAACUUCGGGAAACCGGAGCUAAUACCGGAUAAUAUUUUGAACCGCAUGGUUCAAAAGUGAAAGACGGUCUUGCUGUCACUUAUAGAUGGAUCCGCGCUGCAUUAGCUAGUUGGUAAGGUAACGGCUUACCAAGGCAACGAUGCAUAGCCGACCUGAGAGGGUGAUCGGCCACACUGGAACUGAGACACGGUCCAGACUCCUACGGGAGGCAGCAGUAGGGAAUCUUCCGCAAUGGGCGAAAGCCUGACGGAGCAACGCCGCGUGAGUGAUGAAGGUCUUCGGAUCGUAAAACUCUGUUAUUAGGGAAGAACAUAUGUGUAAGUAACUGUGCACAUCUUGACGGUACCUAAUCAGAAAGCCACGGCUAACUACGUGCCAGCAGCCGCGGUAAUACGUAGGUGGCAAGCGUUAUCCGGAAUUAUUGGGCGUAAAGCGCGCGUAGGCGGUUUUUUAAGUCUGAUGUGAAAGCCCACGGCUCAACUGUGGAGGGUCAUUGGAAACUGGAAAACUUGAGUGCAGAAGGGGAAAGUGGAAUUCCAUGUGUAGCGGUGAAAUGCGCAGAGAUAUGGAGGAACACCAGUGGCGAAGGCGACUUUCUGGUCUGUAACUGACGCUGAUGUGCGAAAGCGUGGGGAUCAAACAGGAUUAGAUACCCUGGUAGUCCACGCCGUAAACGAUGAGUGCUAAGUGUUAGGGGGUUUCCGCCCCUUAGUGCUGCAGCUAACGCAUUAAGCACUCCGCCUGGGGAGUACGACCGCAAGGUUGAAACUCAAAGGAAUUGACGGGGACCCGCACAAGCGGUGGAGCAUGUGGUUUAAUUCGAAGCAACGCGAAGAACCUUACCAAAUCUUGACAUCCUUUGACAACUCUAGAGAUAGAGCCUUCCCCUUCGGGGGACAAAGUGACAGGUGGUGCAUGGUUGUCGUCAGCUCGUGUCGUGAAAUGUUGGGUUAAGUCCCGCAACGAGCGCAACCCUUAAGCUUAGUUGCCAUCAUUAAGUUGGGCACUCUAAGUUGACUGCCGGUGACAAACCGGAGGAAGGUGGGGAUGACGUCAAAUCAUCAUGCCCCUUAUGAUUUGGGCUACACACGUGCUACAAUGGACAAUACAAAGGGCAGCGAAACCGCGAGGUCAAGCAAAUCCCAUAAAGUUGUUCUCAGUUCGGAUUGUAGUCUGCAACUCGACUACAUGAAGCUGGAAUCGCUAGUAAUCGUAGAUCAGCAUGCUACGGUGAAUACGUUCCCGGGUCU